UACGUAGGUGGCAAGCGUUGUCCGGAUUUAUUGGGUUUAAAGGGUGCGUAGGCGGCCCUGUAAGUCAGUGCUGAAAUAUCCCGGCUUAACCGGGAGGGUGGCAUUGAUACUGCAGGGCUUGAGUACAGGUGAAGUAGGCGGAAUUGACGGUGUAGCGGUGAAAUGCAUAGAUAUCGUCAAGAACACCGAUAGCGAAGGCAGCUUACUAAGCUGUAACUGACGCUGAGGCACGAAAGUGUGGGGAUCAAACAGG
rnacentral:rRNA from 1 species